GAUGAACGCUGGCGGCGUGCCUAAUACAUGCAAGUCGAGCGAACAGACGAGGAGCUUGCUCCUCUGACGUUAGCGGCGGACGGGUGAGUAACACGUGGAUAACCUACCUAUAAGACUGGGAUAACUUCGGGAAACCGGAGCUAAUACCGGAUAAUAUAUUGAACCGCAUGGUUCAAUAGUGAAAGACGGUUUUGCUGUCACUUAUAGAUGGAUCCGCGCCGCAUUAGCUAGUUGGUAAGGUAACGGCUUACCAAGGCAACGAUGCGUAGCCGACCUGAGAGGGUGAUCGGCCACACUGGAACUGAGACACGGUCCAGACUCCUACGGGAGGCAGCAGUAGGGAAUCUUCCGCAAUGGGCGAAAGCCUGACGGAGCAACGCCGCGUGAGUGAUGAAGGUCUUCGGAUCGUAAAACUCUGUUAUUAGGGAAGAACAAAUGUGUAAGUAAAUAUGCACGUCUUGACGGUACCUAAUCAGAAAGCCACGGCUAACUACGUG
rnacentral:rRNA from 1 species